UGAGGAAUAUUGGUCAAUGGGCGGAAGCCUGAACCAGCCAUGCCGCGUGCAGGACGACGGCCCUACGGGUUGUAAACUGCUUUUCCGGGGGAAGAAUAACCCCCCUGCGGGGGGGGAUGCCGGUACCCCGGGAAUAAGGAUCGGCUAACUCCGUGCCAGCAGCCGCGGUAAUACGGAGGAUCCUAGCGUUAUCCGGAUUUACUGGGUUUAAAGGGUGCGUAGGCGGGCGUUUAAGUCCGCGGUGAAAGUCUGCGGCUCAACCGUAGGAUUGCCGUGGAUACUGGACGUCUUGGAUUCGGUCGGGGCGGGCGGAAUGCGUGGUGUAGCGGUGAAAUGCAUAGAUAUCACGCAGAACGCCGAUAGCGAAGGCAGCUCGCCGGGCCGAAAUCGACGCUGAGGCACGAAAGCGUGGGGAUCAAACA
rnacentral:rRNA from 2 species